UAACAAGCUAUCCAGAUCCCAGGUUGAUUACAUUUUAAGGGAUCCUACAUUUCAAAGAGAAGCCCAUUUUAUUCUCAAAGGAAUUAAACAAUAUUGCGGACCUGAUAUUAGAAAAGAAGAGGAUCUUGAUAUAUUUUGCCAAUACACUGCCAACGCUCGUGCUAACAAGGAG